UUGCCUCAGUAACGGCGAGUGAAGCGGCAAAAGCUCAAAUUUGAAACCCUCGGGAUUGUAAUUUGAAGAUUUGGCAUUGGAGAAAGCUAACCCAAGUUGCUUGGAAUAGUACGUCAUAGAGGGUGACAACCCCGUCUGGCUAACCGUUCUCCAUGUAUUGCCUUAUCAAAGAGUCGAGUUGUUUGGGAAUGCAGCUCAAAGUGGGUGGUAAACUCCAUCUAAAGCUAAAUACUGGUGAGAGACCGAUAGCGAACAAGUACUGUGAAGGAAAGGUGAAAAGAACUUUGAAAAGAGAGUGAAAUAGUAUGUGAAAUUGUUGAUAGGGAAGGAAAUGAGUGGAGAGUGGCCGAGGUUUCAGCCGCCCCUCGUGGGCGGUGUACUGCCGACGCCGAGUCAUCGAUAGCGAGACGAGGGUUACAAAUGGGAGCGCCUUCGGGCGUUCUCCCCUAACCCUCCACACUGCCA
rnacentral:rRNA from 1 species